ACCCCCCCCUUCCCCCCCCCGGGCAGUGAGGAAUAUUGGUCAAUGGACGAGAGUCUGAACCAGCCAAGUAGCGUGAAGGAUGACUGCCCUAUGGGUUGUAAACUUCUUUUAUAAGGGAAUAAAGUGAGGGACGUGUCCCUUUUUGUAUGUACCUUAUGAAUAAGGAUCGGCUAACUCCGUGCCAGCAGCCGCGGUAAUACGGAGGAUCCAAGCGUUAUCCGGAUUUAUUGGGUUUAAAGGGAGCGUAGGUUGACAUAUAAGUCAGCUGUGAAAGUUUACGGCUCAACCGUGAAAUUGCAGUUGAUACUGUAUGUCUUGAGUGUACAAGAGGUGGGCGGAAUUCGUGGUGUAGCGGUGAAAUGCUUAGAUAUCACGAAGAACUCCAAUUGCGAAGGCAGCUCACUGGGGUACAACUGACACUGAGGCUCGAAAGUGUGGGUAUCAAACAGGAUUAGAUACCCUGGUAGUCCACACAGUAAACGAUGAAUACUCGCUGUUUGCGAUAUACAGUAAGCGGCCAAGCGAAAAGC
rnacentral:rRNA from 1 species